rnacentral:rRNA from 1 species
UCUGACACAGGUGCUGCAUGGCUGUCGUCAGCUCGUGUCGUGAGAUGUUGGGUUAAGUCCGUAACGAGCGCAACCCUUGUCCUAGUUACCAGCACGUUAUGGUGGGCACUCUAAGGAGACUGCCGGUGACAAACCGGAGGAAGGUGGGGGAUGACGUCAAGUCAUCAUGGCCCUUACGGCCUGGGCUACACACGUGCUACAAUGGUCGGUACAAAGGGUUGCCAAGCCGCGAGGUGGAGCUAAUCCCAUAAAACCGAUCGUAGUCCGGAUCGCAGUCUGCAACUCGACUGCGUGAAGUCGGAAUCGCUAGUAAUCGUGAAUCAGAAUGUCACGGUGAAUACGUUCCCGGGCCUU